GCUCGGGUGGCGAAACUGGUAGACGCAAGGGACUUAAAAUCCCUUGGGGGAUAACCCCCGUGUGGGUUCGAGACCCGCCCCGAGCA
rnacentral:tRNA from 1 species